GCAUGCCUAAGUAUGCGCUCUCGAACAGUGAAACCACGAAUGGCUCAUUAAAUCAGCUAUUGUUUACUUGAUCAUACCCGUCACAUGGAUAACUGUAGUAAUUCUAGAGCUAAUACAUGCCUCGAAUCCGUGACCCGCAAGGGGAUCGGUGCACUUAUUAGAACAAGACCAACCGGGCGUGCUUCACGGUAUGCCCGACCGUGUCGUGUUGACUCUGGAUAAUUUCUACAGAUCGCAGUCGGCCUUGUGUCGGCGACGGUUCUUUCAAAUGUCUGCCCUAUCAACUUACGAUGGUAGGUAACCCGCCUACCAUGGUGAUAACGGGUAACGGGGAAUCAGGGUUCGAUUCCGGAGAGGGAGCCUGAGAAACGGCUACCACAUCCAAGGAAGGCAGCAGGCGCGCAAAUUACCCACUCCCGGCACGGGGAGGUAGUGACGAAAAAUAACGAUGCGGAACUCAUCAGAGGCUUCGUAAUCGGAAUGAGUACAGUUUAAAUCCUUUAACGAGGAUCAAUUGGAGGGCAAGUCUGGUGCCAGCAGCCGCGGUAACUCCAGCUCCAAUAGCGUAUAUUAAAGUUGCUGCAGUUAAAAAGCUCGUAGUUGGAUGUUGACGGCAUUGCUGCGGGCUAUAGUUGCGUGUGUGUUCUCUUGGUUGGCUCAAGCUGACCAGGGCAUGCCGUGCUGGGUCCGUUAGUGGUGUAGUCUUUCAGUCGUGUCUGCGUCUUACGGCGUAGGUGCUGCUGGACGGAUGGGCUUGUCUCGUCUGGCCGGUGGUACGCUUUGAGAUGCUCUUCAUUGGGUGUCUUGGAGCGGGCGGCAUGUUUACUUUGAACAAAUUUGAGUGCUCAAAGCAGGCAGCUUAAUGUGCCUGAAAAGUCUUGCAUGGAAUAAUGGAAUAGGACUUCGGUUCUAUUUUGUUGGUUUUCGGAUCCGAGGUAAUGGUUAAGAGAGACAGACGGGGGCAUUUGUAUGGCGGUGUUAGAGGUGAAAUUCUUGGAUCGCCGCCAGACAACCUGAAGCGAAAGCAUUUGCCAGGAAUGUUUUCAUUGACAAAGAGCGAAAGUCAGAGGUUCGAAGACGAUCAGAUACCGUCCUAGUUCUGACCAUAAACGAUGCCAACUGACGAUCCGUGGGGUUAGUACAUAUUGUCCCUACGGGCAGUCUCCGGGAAACCCUUAAGUCUUUGGGUUCCGGGGGAAGUAUGGUUGCAAAGCUGAAACUUAAAGGAAUUGACGGAAGGGCACCACCAGGAGUGGAGCCUGCGGCUUAAUUUGACUCAACACGGGAAAACUCACCCGGCCCGGACACUGUGAGGAUUGACAGAUUGAUAGCUCUUUCUUGAUUCAGUGGUUGGUGGUGCAUGGCCGUUCUUAGUUCGUGGAGCGAUUUGUCUGGUUAAUUCCGAUAACGAACGAGACUCUAUUCUGUUAAUUAGCACUCCCGUACUUGGUGUGCGCUGGGCUGGUAGUGUUCUGACUCGCCUCGCGUGUGGUUAGAGUACUAUCGGCUCGUUGGCGUAACACUGCGCGGGCGGAGCUUCUUAGAGAGACAAAUGGCGUUAGCCGCAUGAAAUUGAGCAAUAACAGGUCUGUGAUGCCCUUAGAUGUCCGGGGCCGCACGCGCGCUACAAUGACGGUACCAACGAGUAUGACCUCCUGGCUCGAGAGAGUCAGGUAAACUGGUCCAUGACCGUCGUGACCGGGACCGGGGUUUGUAAUUAUCCCCCGUGAACGAGGAAUUCCCAGUAAGUGCAAGUCAUAAGCUUGUGCUGAUUACGUCCCUGCCCUUUGUACACACCGCCCGUCGCUACUACCGAUUGAAUGGUUUGGCAAGGCUCUCGGAUUGGUGUCAUUGUAGUGGCUUGUCCACUCGACAGAUGCUGAGAAGAGAACCAAACUCGAUCAUUAGAGGAAGU
rnacentral:rRNA from 1 species